GCCGGUGUUAAACCGGAGGAAGGUGGGGAUGACGUCAAGUCCUCAUGGCCUUUAUGACCAGGGCUACACACGUACUACAAUGGCCGAUACAAAGGGCAGCGACACUGCGAGGUGAAGCCAAUCCCGUAAAUACGGUCUCAGUCCGGAUUGGAGUCUGCAACUCGACUCCAUGAAGUUGGAAUCGCUAGUAAUCGUGGAUCAGCAUGCCACGGUGAAUACGUUCCCGGGCCUU
rnacentral:rRNA from 1 species